AUGCAACCUUCCAUGCUGCCCACCACAGCAAUCAAUACAAAAUCAACAGCUUCCUGGAUGUACCCAACUUCUUCCAGUCGGAGAUUAGGAAAUCUAUUCGAGAUGUCAGAUUUAGGGAAUCCUCUCCUGUGACAAGACCUGGAUAAAAAAUGUCGGAAGCAAUAAUGUUUUAAAGAAGGGAAUUAAGAGUUUUUAUGAAUAAAAUAGAGUUAAAAGGCAAAUGGUUUUUGGUUGUUAAACAUUUACAUGCAUGUCUUUUAAAGCUUCCAAUCUUAUGAGGAUUCAGGGAGUUUAAUGUUUAAUGGUUGUGGAUUAACUAUUAAUACCUUCGUUUUAGCAAUUUGUUUAGAAUCACAAAUAUUUCUUUUAUUCCUUAAUUAAAGUUAACUCUAACAACAUUAAACAGAAAAAUGUGAAAUAUAUGACCAGAGAAGACGACAUCAAAUCCAAUUCUUUUUGGGAUAAUUAAAGUAAAUAUAGAAUGGAGAUUUCAUUCAUUUCAUUCAUCAGCUGUAUAGUUUCAACAAGCCUAUAGGUUUAAACUAAAUUAUGAAAAUUGUUAUUAUUAUUUGGAAUAUUUUUUUUGGUCAAUAAUUAAUUAUCAUUCUUGUAUUAAUCAAGAUGAAUUGUCAUAUUUUUCUUAAAUUGUCAGACGAUGCUAUUCUUCAUUAAAAGAUUGAUAUGCUCGAAUCACAAUGAAUUGAUCAUAUUUAAUUGUGGGUUUUCUAUGAAAGUUUAACAAAAAUAAACUGAAUACAAUUUAUUUUUAUAUUUAUGGUACAAAAAGUAAAAUAUUUUCCUCAAUAUUGUUCAGUGUUGUAAAGGGUUCCGUUGUGAAUCAGCAAUGAAAAUUAAGUCUUUAUAUUACUCUGACAAUCCAAGUAAGAAAAUAAGGUAAACUGCAAAGUUGUAUUUUGGAAUUUAUUUCCUCCGCUUAUAGAUAUAUUAUUCUGUGAACUGCAGUCCUAAUUAUUUAAUAUGUGUGUAAAUUUUACUUAUGUAACUUUUUGUUGAAGUUUUUUUAUAAAUCAGACUUGAAUUAAGAUGGUCUUCCAAAUCUUUUCAAUGUAUCAUUGUUCGAAGUUUAUGCAAUAAUUAAAUUCUGUUUCAACUAUAUUGACGAAAUAUAUUUGUACAUUAGUGAAA